rnacentral:lncRNA from 1 species
AUGGAGCCAGUUCAUUAUGUGCAUUUCACUGAUCCUUGGUCUGAGGUGGGGACACUUCUUCACUGCCUUCAUAAUUUUCUUGUGCUCAUUGGCCAGUUCUCUGAGGGUUGUUCAUGUGAUGUGCUGCUGGGCCAGUAUACGGCUGUCCAUGCACGUGGUUAUUCUGCUGAUACUGAGAUCCAGGUGAAUGGGGGUAUAGAGGGGCAUCUUCAGGUGGAGGUGACUCAUGUUCAUCUGGGGCAUGUGAUCUCUCCAAGAAAUAACCAUUUGAUGUUUCAUUGCUUUGCACUGGGGGAGACCAAUUGUUUUAAGUGUAUUGAGGAUUGCCGGUGUAUGUUCUUCUUUCAAGUUCAUCUCCAAGCCAUUCCACCGCCCAGGUCCACUUUCUUUUAAGAUCUCCGUUGCCCUGCAGGAUUUGGUAAGCAACAGGACAAUUGCUAAAGAGAGCUACCAUACAUUUUAUACACUGGUAGGCUCUCUUUUGAUAGUGAUUCUGGGAGCUCUGGAUUGUGUCAAAGAGUCCAUCUCGGUCAUCUGGAAUUCCUUUAAGUGCGUUAUGAAUUCUGUGAGUCUGUCAGGAGUCUUCAAUCAACAGUAUUUGCAAAAGCAGAUCCAAAUAUGGUCGGAGUUCAUAGGUGUAGGAAUAUGCAACCUGCCAAAGAAGUUCACUGAGGACAGUAGAUGAAAACUGAGGAUUCUCCCAGCAGCAAAAACAAAGUAAUUUGACUGUUUCCUCUGAGUUACUGCAGUCUUCAAUGAUUUUCUUGACAUAACUCAACAUUUUUCAAUAAUUAGCCAUGCCCACAAACAAAUUGGUUUGACAAAACAUCUUUUAAUUUUGUCAAGUGAUCAUUUUUCUCCUGGAUAAUCAGUUAAAAGUCACUUGUUAAGAAUAUAUUAAUUAUCGAUGGGCAUUGUGUUGCUAAGGGUUAAGCCUUGUCACUUGCAACACCAGAAUCCCAUAUCAGAGUGACAAUUCAAGUCCUGGGGCCUACGCUGUGGCAUAACAUUGCCUGCAUCCCAUAUGGGCACCAGUUUGAGUCCCAGCUGCCCCAUUUUCCAUCCAUCUUUCUGCUAUGGACUGAGAAAGGAAUGGAAGAUGGCCCAAGUCCUUGCACCUCUGCACUCACGUGGGAGACCUGGAGGAAGCUCCUGGCUCCUAGCUUCAGGUCGGCACAGCCAUUUGGGGAGUGAACCAAUGGAUGGAAGACCUCUCUCUCUUUCUCUCUCUCUCUCUGCUUCUACUUCUCUCUGUGUAACUCAUACUUUAAAUAAAUAAAUCCUUAACAAAAAAUUCA